UUUAAAGAUAAGCUAACUUUAAGCUAAUGGGCUCAUACCCCGUAAAUGAAAGUUUAAUCUUUCUCUUUAUAA
rnacentral:tRNA from 1 species